ACCUGGUUGAUCCUGCCAGUAGUCAUAUGCUUGUCUCAAAGAUUAAGCCAUGCAUGUCUAAGUAUAAGCGACUAUACUGUGAAACUGCGAAUGGCUCAUUAAAUCAGUUAUGGUUUAUUUGAUGGUACCUUACUACUUGGAUAACCGUAGUAAUUCUAGAGCUAAUACAUGCAGGAAGGCCCUCCGGGGCCGUAUUUAUUAGAUAAGAAACCAAUCCCUUUUGGGUUGCGUGCCGAGUCAUAAUAACUGCUCGAAUCGCAUGGCCUUGUGCCGGCGAUGGUUCAUUCAAAUUUCUGCCCUAUCAGCUUUCGAUGGUAGGAUAGAGGCCUACCAUGGCGUUUACGGGUAACGGAGAAUUAGGGUUCGAUUCCGGAGAGGGAGCCUGAGAAAUGGCUACCACAUCCAAGGAAGGCAGCAGGCGCGUAAAUUGCCCGAAUCCUGACACAGGGAGGUAGUGACAAGAAAUAACAAUACAGGGCCAUCUUGGUCUUGUAAUUGGAAUGAGUACAAUUUACAACUCUUCACGAGGAUCAAUUGGAGGGCAAGUCUGGUGCCAGCAGCCGCGGUAAUUCCAGCUCCAAUAGCGUAUAUUAAAGUUGUUGCAGUUAAAACGCUCGUAGUCGGAUUUCGGGGCGUGCUGACCGGUCUGCCGAUGGGUAUGCACUGGUUUGGCGCGUCCUUUCUUUCGGAGCUCUCUGCUGCUCUUAACUGAGCGGUGGAGGGAGACGGAUCGUUUACUUUGAAAAAAUCAGAGUGUUUCAAGCAGGCAGCUCGCUCUUGCAUGGAUUAGCAUGGGAUAAUGAAAUAGGACUCUGGUGCUAUUUUGUUGGUUUCGAACACCGGAGUAAUGAUUAACAGGGACAGUCAGGGGCACUCGUAUUCCGCCGAGAGAGGUGAAAUUCUCAGACCAGCGGAAGACGAACCACUGCGAAAGCAUUUGCCAGGGAUGUUUUCACUGAUCAAGAACGAAAGUUAGGGGAUCGAAGACGAUCAGAUACCGUCGUAGUCUUAACCAUAAACCAUGCCGACUAGGGAUUGGGGGUUGUACCAUUUGUGUCUCCCUCAGCACCUUUCGGGAAACUAAAGUCUUUGGGUUCCGGGGGGAGUAUGGUCGCAAGGCUGAAACUUAAAGGAAUUGACGGAAGGGCACCACCAGGCGUGGAACUUGCGGCUUAAUUUGACCCAACACG
rnacentral:rRNA from 1 species